rnacentral:rRNA from 1 species
UGGGAACGUGCCUUUUGGUUCGGAACAACCCAGGGAAACUUGGGCUAAUACCGGAUAAGCCCUUACGGGGAAAGAUUUAUCGCCAAAAGAUCGGCCCGCGUCUGAUUAGCUAGUUGGUGAGGUAACGGCUCACCAAGGCAACGAUGCGUAGCCGACCUGAGAGGGUGAUCGGCCACAUUGGAACUGAGACACGGUCCAGACUCCUACGGGAGGCAG